GAGUUUGAUCAUGGCUCAGAACGAACGCUGGCGGCAGGCUUAACACAUGCAAGUCGAACGCCCCGCAAGGGGAGUGGCAGACGGGUGAGUAACACGUGGGAACGUGCCCAAAGGUACGGAACAACUCCGGGAAACUGGAGCUAAUACCGUAUGUGCCCGAAAGGGGAAAGAUUUAUCGCCUUUGGAUCGGCCCGCGUCUGAUUAGCUAGUUGGCGGGGUAAUGGCCCACCAAGGCGACGAUCAGUAGCUGGUCUGAGAGGAUGACCAGCCACACUGGGACUGAGACACGGCCCAGACUCCUACGGGAGGCAGCAGUGGGGAAUAUUGGACAAUGGGCGCAAGCCUGAUCCAGCCAUGCCGCGUGAGUGAUGAAGGCCUUAGGGUUGUAAAGCUCUUUCGCCGAGGACGAUAAUGACGGUACUCGGAUAAGAAGCCCCGGCUAACUUCGUGCCAGCAGCCGCAGU
rnacentral:rRNA from 1 species